GUCCCUGUCGCCAAGAGGCUUAAGGCUAUGGAUUGCAAACCCAUAAUACGUGAGUUCAAAUCUCACUAGGGACU
rnacentral:tRNA from 1 species